rnacentral:sRNA from 1 species
CUUCCUCCUCGCCCCCACCCAGACCCAGAAGGCGGCACCAUGGCGGCGCCCCCGCAGCCCGUCACCCACCUCAUCUUUGACAUGGACGGACUUCUUCUGGAUACUGAACGGCUGUAUUCAGUGGUGUUUCAAGAAAUAUGUGAUCGCUAUGACAAGAAAUACAGCUGGGAUGUAAAGUCCCUGGUUAUGGGUAAGAAGGCAUUAGAGGCGGCACAGAUUAUAAUAGACGUCUUGCAGCUCCCGAUGUCCAAAGAGGAGCUGGUGGAAGAAAGCCGAACGAAGUUAAAGGAAGUGUUCCCCACGGCUGCGCUCAUGCCAGGGCAUCAGCUCUUCACACAGCAACAGCUUCCUGCAUGUGGCCCCUGACUGUCCAUUGAUGACCGAAGGCUCGUGGACUUGCCAAGUUGCCCACGUAAAACCCAGGGUUCAGAGAGCGAGACAAGUCCUUGCAUUGUGAAGUGCCAACAAUUCUAGUAUUCCAAAGCUCAGUGUUGUUCAGAACAUGGUACCCUUGUGAGAUCACGUGUGACAUUUGUGAAGAACCUGGAACUGAUGUUUCCUUAGGAAGCCUCGCAACAGUAAGUGCUUUCAGCUCGCUCAAGGAACUUCAAGUAGGCAAGAAAUAAGAAUGGAAACCCUGCAUUACUCCAUCAGAUCUUGAAAGUUUUCUCUUGGUUAAAUGUGCCUGUCAAUCACAUCGAAUCUUAUCCCCUGCCUCUGUGUGCUAUAUCACAACAGCGACGUCUGCUGGACCGUGUGUGCUCUCUGGGUACACAUUUUCCAGGAGGCAGCAUCUUAUUAGAGAGUAACAGGUCUGUCUUGUGUAAAGGAGAAUGCUAACCGCUUCAUGAGAAGGCUCCCCACCAUGAACUCGGAUAACCGGAUGCUAUUUUUUUAACUUAUUUAUUUUUUAAUUGACAAAUAGAAAUCGUAUAUAGUUAUCACACACAACGUGUUUUGAAGUGUGUAUACAUUGUGGAGUGGCUGCGUCAAGCUAAUGAACACAUGCAUCAUCUCACUUUCUCAUCAUGUUUUGUGGG